rnacentral:rRNA from 1 species
AAAAUUCAAAAGGAAAUUGACCGGGGGCCCCCAAGGCGGUGGAGCAUUGGUUUAAUUGAAGCAACGGGAAGAACCUUACCAGGUCUUGACAUCCUUUUGACAACUCUAGAGAUAGAGCGUUCCCCUUCGGGGGACAGAGUGACAGGUGGUGCAUGGUUGUCGUCAGCUCGUGUCGUGAGAUGUUGGGUUAAGUCCCGCAACGAGCGCAACCCUUGAUCUUAGUUGCCAGCAUUUAGUUGGGCACUCUAAGGUGACUGCCGGUGACAAACCGAGGAAGGUGGGGAUGACGUCAAAUCAUCAUGCCCCUUAUGACCUGGGCUACACACGUGCUACAAUGGAUGGUACAAAGGGCUGCAAGACCGCGAGGUCAAGCCAAUCCCAUAAAACCAUUCUCAGUUCGAUUGUAGGCUGCAACUCGCCUACAUGAAGCUGGAAUCGCUAGUAAUCGCGGAUCAGCAUGCCGCGGUGAAUACGUUCCCGGGCCUUGUACACACCGCCCGUCACACCACGAGAGUUUGUAACACCCGAAGUCGGUGGAGUAACCGUAAGGAGCUAGCCGC